GCUCGCCCCACCCAUUCGCCCCGCCUCCAACUCGUUCGACCAGGGUUGGGCUAUACGGGCGCGCUCUCGGGGACAGGGGGGGCAGUCCCGGUCCCGGCCCUCCGCGCGGGUGGGCUUGGAGCAGGCCGCACCGGGCGGGAACCCCACUCCCACCCCGGAGGCCCCCUGCCCUUUCUCCCCCUUUCCCCCCGGCCCAUGGUGCGAGGCUGGGAGCCGCCGCCCGGGCCGGACCGUGCUAUCUCUGAAGGGCACAAAUCAGAAAGCACCAUGCCUCCUAAUAAAGAGGCCAGCAGUCUUAAUAGCUCCCCAGCGGGGCUCAUCUGCCUGCCUCCAAUCUCCGAGGAGCUACAACUUGUGUGGACCCAAGCAGCCCAGACCAGUGAGCUGGAUGGCAAUGAACACUUGCUACAAACCUUCAGCUACUUUCCCUAUCCCAGUCUAGCAGACAUUGCCCUUCUCUGCUUACGCUAUGGGCUGCAGAUGGAGAAAGUCAAGACUUGGUUCAUGGCCCAGCGCCUCCGCUGUGGCAUUAGCUGGUCAUCUGAAGAAAUAGAAGAGACUCGAGCCCGAGUGGUCUAUCAUCGGGACCAGCUCCAUUUCAAAUCCCUUCUCUCUUUUACUCAUCAUGCAGGGCGGCCCCCAGAGGAGGUGCCUCCUCCAUUGCCACCUCCAGAACAAAUGGGUCUUGGAAUAGUACCCCUGACUCUUAGUGAGCCCACCCAAAUGAAAGGCUUGAAGGUAGAACCUGAGGAGUCCUCAGAGCUGCUGAGUCACCAGAAAGCAAAGGAACCCCUGAUGGCACCUGGCAGUGGGGCAUUCCCCCACCAAUCAGAUUUUUGGCAGGAUCUUCAAAGUGGUGGCUUCUCUAAGGAGCAGGCAGGCAGGGGUCCCCACCAGUCACAUGGCCUAGGUUCUGCUUCCUGGAACCACUCCACAGCUGUCCAUCCGCCACAUGCUCGGGAUAAGCCCCCACCAAUCUCACUACUUGCUAGUAGUUGUAAGCAGGAGUCAACAUCUAAUAUGACUCCUUCCUCUCCCUCUACCUCUUCUUCCACUUUCCCUGUACUGGCUAAUGGAGCUUCUGCCACCUCUAAACCCCUCCAGUCACUAGGCUGUAUCUCACAGCCACUGUCACCCAGUGAACAGGCACUGCCCCCACAUCUGGAGCCAGCUUGGCCCCAGGGGCUAAGACAUAAUUCAGUACCAGGUAGGGUUGGCCCUGCAGAGUACCUUUCCCCAGAUAUGCAACGCCAGCGAAAGACCAAGCGCAAAACCAAAGAGCAGCUGGCUAUCCUCAAAUCUUUUUUUUUACAGUGCCAGUGGGCACGGCGUGAGGAUUACCAUAAAUUAGAACAGAUCACUGGUUUACCUCGACCUGAGAUCAUUCAGUGGUUUGGUGACACACGCUAUGCCUUGAAGCAUGGGCAACUAAAAUGGUUUCGGGACAAUGCAGUACCUGGUGCCUCUAGUUUCCAGGACCCAGCAAUUCCCACACCCCCACCUUCAACCCGCUCCUUGAAUGAAUGGGCUGAGACACCACCUCUGCCAAACCCCCCACCGCCACCGGAUAUACGACCCUUGGAGAGGUACUGGGCAGCCCAUCAACAGCUACGGGAAAGUGAUAUCCCUCAACUGAGUCAGGCAUCAAGGCUUAGCACCCAGCAGGUACUGGAUUGGUUUGACUCUCGAUUACCUGAGCCAGCUGAGGUGGUGGUUUGUCUAGAUGAAGAGGAAGAAGAGGAGGAGGAAGAACUGCCAGAAGAUGACGAGGAUGAAGAGGAGGAGGAGGAGGAAGAGGAGGAGGAGGAUGAUGACGAUGUGAUCAUACAGGACUGAGUCGGGGGGACUAGGGGAGGGAAGGUCUGUUACUAAAAGAUGAACCAACUUAGUAACUGUUUAAACAAAGAAACCACAUUUUUUUAAAUUACUUUGUGGCAAAGAACUGAAAAGCUUUGUGUUCUUGAGGUUGGGGGAUUGGGGAUGUAGUGAGGGUGGACCAGAGAGGAUGACCAUAGGAUCUAAAGAGAGGUGGGGAUUGGAUGAACAGAAAUCAGUCCUCUCGUCUCAGUGAAGAGUGCGCUAAGGAUCUGGUCCAAACCAUGGGCUGGGAGAAGGCUUUUUUGCUCUCUUCAUGUCUGCUGUUCUUUUCCCUUAGUGUGCAAUGGAAAGCCCAGACCUUGGCCAUACAUCUAUAGGAGGACUGGAAAAGAAGAGUAAAGAAUUUUGAUUCAAUUGAUGAUUCCAGUGCAGACCCCAGUCCCACCAUUUUCCCUGGAAUCUCCGUGGUAGCCUUGAAAACCAACAUUCUGGCAUCAUCGUGGGGAUGGAAUGGGUUUGGAACUCUUUCAAAGCCUCAUUCCCAGAAAAUAAUCAUUUGACCUGUCCAGUGGCAACUGGAAGACUCCACUUGCAAGGCUGACUUUGUUUGAUCCGACCUGGAGCGCAAACUCAUCGGGACUUGGAGCUUAGAGUUCAUCACCUGUGAAAAGCCUUUUCCCCAGGAGUGUGUGUUGUAAACAAUUAGAAGCACUUGUUUGGGCUGCUUGAGAAUGUGAAUAUCAAUUGGGGCAAAUAAUAGGCUAACCUGAAAGCAUAGCUGGAAGAGAUGGGGAAUGAAUUGUUGGUGGGGACUCUGAAAACAAUACAUUCUUGGAGUCUAGAACAUAUGCAUAUGCAGGACUGUAUGCAAGCUCAGAAAAUACCUGAAAAAGCCCCAAUCUCUUACCUUGAGGUCAUACAAGCAGGUUGAAGGCUAAGGUCAGUUGCCUGGCUAAGUGCUGAAAGAGAACCCCAACACAUAUACAGAAACCCUCAGCAAAGACUGAGAGACUUACUGGUUCCAAGUGUUUAAGGGAAUCUCUGUCCAGUCCUUAGCUGACCACGAAACUAACUGAAUAGAGACUUUGGUGGCUCCACAUGACAAUACAGAUUUUAUAGAAUUAUUUUUAAAAAGUCACUAAACAAUAAACAGCAAGAACAAUAACAAAAAGAACCCAUGGGGAAGGGGAAGAAUCUGAUUCCAAGAACUGCCAUGUUAUACUAUUUUAAUGUCCAAUUUCCAACAAAAAAUGAGGUAUAUAAAGAAAGAAGUAUGACCCAUAUAAAGAAAUAAAGCAAUCGAUGGAAACUGUCCUUGAGGAAGCCCAGACAUUGGACUAAGCCCAGCCUAGACUUUGUCUAGACAAAGACUUUAAGUCAGGUAUUUUAUUUUAAAGAUUUUAUUUAUUUAUUUAUUAGAGAGAGAGAGAGCAAGAGAGGACAUGAGCAGGGAAGAGAAGGAGAAGCAGGCUCCCUCAUAGGGAGUCCCACAUGAUAUGCUCAAUCCCAGGACUCUGAGAUCAUGACCUGAGCUCAAGGAUGACACUUAACCAGCUGAGCCCUAAAUUA